rnacentral:rRNA from 1 species
UACAGAGGUCCCGAGCGUUGUUCGGAUUCAUUGGGCGUAAAGGGUGCGUAGGCGGCGGGGCAAGUCUGAUGUGAAAUCCCGGGGCUCAACCCCGGAACUGCAUUUGAAACUGCCUUGCUCGAGUACUGGAGAGGAGACUGGAAUUUACGGUGUAGCAGUGAAAUGCGUAGAUAUCGUAAGGAAGACCAGUGGCGAAGGCGAGUCUCUGGACAGUUACUGACACUGAGGCACGAAGGCCAGGGGAGCAAACGGG